GCGGUUCGCGUCUCUUGGUGAUUCAUAAUAACUUCUCGAAUCGCAUGGCCUUGUUGGCGGCGAUGCUUCAUUCAAAUAUCUGCCCUAUCCAACUUUCGAUGGUAGGAUAGCAGGCCUACCCAUGGUUUCAACGGGUAACGGGGAAUAAGGGUUCGAUUCCGGAGAGGGAGCCUGAGAAACGGCUACCACAUCCAAGGAAGGCAGCAGGCGCGCAAAUUACCCAAUCCCGACACGGGGAGGUAGUGACAAUAAAUAACAAUAUAGGGCUCAUUUGGGUCUUGAUAAUUGGAAUGAGUACAAUUUAAAUCCCUUAACGAGGAACAAUUGGAGGGCAAGUCUGGUGCCAGCAGCCGCGGUAAUUCCAGCUCCCAAUAGCGUAUAUUCAACAGUUGUUGCAGUUAAAAAGCUCGUAGUUGAACUUCGAACGUGGCUGGGCGGUUCCGCCUACACCGGGUGUGUACUUGUCUUGGCCGUGUAACUCUUUCUUGGUGAAGCCCGGCAUGGCCCUUUA
rnacentral:rRNA from 1 species